rnacentral:lncRNA from 1 species
CUCCUUCUAUAACAUCCAUGACCCCACCAUUUGACUCCAAGAGUUGGGGUUCAGUUGGGUAAGAGCCAGGCCAUAGGUCCUCAAAACAUAGCGAAAGAAAUGAUGGAUCGACAACCUAAGACCAGCCCUAAAUAACGCUUCGCUCACAGCUACGCAGCCCGGCCUAGGAUAACAGGCUAGCUCAUCAGGCCCUGGCAAAAUUAGGCCCACACUGUCCGGGAUCCUAUACUCCUUCCUAAGUCUAUCAAGGUCGGAAAGCUUAAGUUUGGAAGGAUAAUCAAACGCCCCCCCAGUGUAUGGAAGUGUCUACCGGGCUAUCAGGAUGCCUCCAAAUGUUCUCCCCCUUAAUAUCGCCUCGGACAAUUCCUAGGAGGUCGCCAAUACUGGCUGGUCGACCUCACUAUCUCCAACUCAUCCCGAAGCGUUACUACUCUCAGAAGCCAUCUUCAGAAUUCAAAAAAUGCGAAGAACUAGAAAAAUACUUACUGAAACGAAUGGAUUGGGAUUUUCUACAAUUAGAAAAUAAGAAAUGGCCCUCUACACACGCCAGGAAACGAAAAUGUCGCCGGGAAACGCUUGAAACUCGUCAAAAAUCGCCAACAAUUCAAAAAACAAAGGGAAUUCUGAGUUCGCAAAGGUAAAAUGUUGAAAUGGCAAUAAGUUCCCCUUUUAUAGGAGAACUCAGAUGAUCCCCGUCGUUGAAUUCAAACGGAUGUCAAUUUGGACCGUUGAUCUCAUCAAAUAUCUGGAUCGUUGAAAUGAAACAUUAGAUU